AUUGAACGCUGGCGGCAGGCCUAACACAUGCAAGUCGAGCGGAUGAAGGGAGCUUGCUCCUGGAUUCAGCGGCGGACGGGUGAGUAAUGCCUAGGAAUCUGCCUGGUAGUGGGGGAUAACGUCCGGAAACGGGCGCUAAUACCGCAUACGUCCUGAGGGAGAAAGUGGGGGAUCUUCGGACCUCACGCUAUCAGAUGAGCCUAGGUCGGAUUAGCUAGUUGGUGGGAUAAAGGCCUACCAAGGCGACGAUCCGUAACUGGUCUGAGAGGAUGAUCAGUCACACUGGAACUGAGACACGGUCCAGACUCCUACGGGAGGCAGCAGUGGGGAAUAUUGGACAAUGGGCGAAAGCCUGAUCCAGCCAUGCCGCGUGUGUGAAGAAGGUCUUCGGAUUGUAAAGCACUUUAAGUUGGGAGGAAGGGCAGUAAGUUAAUACCUUGCUGUGUUGACGUUACCAACAGAAUAAGCACCGGCUAACUUCGUG
rnacentral:rRNA from 1 species